rnacentral:lncRNA from 1 species
AGGGCCUUCGUGCCAACAUCUAUGACUGGGCCGCAAUGUUAAGACCCAGCUCAUAUGCAGAGAUGCUCGAACAUGCUCAGUUGGCCAAAGAUCUCAUCUUGGCCAAAUACCAACGCAUUGCCUUAGUCCAUACCCACUAACAACCUCAGCAACUUAUGAGGAGAUUACCUGAUGCAGUAAGUAGCCACCUUGAUAAACGAACUAGAGUUACUAUGCCCCCUACUUUGCCUCCACCUUAGUUCAACUUGCCCGACCUAACCAACCCUAUAGCAUUGUGGUUGCUCACAUGGUGACCUACCCUAUCGACGUAUCAAUAAUGCUUGUUAUCGAUGCGGAGACCCACACCUUAUAAAGGACUGUCCCCAGUGACAAAAGGACGUCACCCGACCUAUAGCACAAGGUCGCGUGUACCACUUUGAUGAACCUGGUGCUCUUCGUACUCAUGUUCUUAUCUAGG